CUGACUGUAGCGUAGUCUGGCCAACGCGCCGCGUUUGGGACGCGGAGAUCGCAAGUUCGAGUCUUGCCAGUCAGA
rnacentral:tRNA from 1 species